GAUGAAGAACGCAGCGAAAUGCGAUAAGUAAUGUGAAUUGCAGAAUUCAGUGAAUCAUCGAAUCUUUGAACGCACAUAGCGCCCGCUAGUAUUCUGGCGGGCAUGCCUGUCCGAGCGUCAUUUCAACCCUCAAGCCCCCGGGCUUGGUGUUGGGGAUCGGCGAGCCUCCGCGCCCGCCGUCCCCUAAAUCUAGUGGCGGUCUCGCUGUAGCUUCCUCUGCGUAGUAGCACACCUCGCACUGGGAAACAGCGCGGCCACGCCGUUAAACCCCCAACUUCUGAACGUUUGACCUCGGAUCAGGUAGGAAUACCCGCUGAACUUAAGCAUAUCAAUAAGCGGAGGA
rnacentral:misc_RNA from 1 species